GAUGAACGCUGGCGGCGUGCCUAAUACAUGCAAGUCGAGCGGACGGACCAGAAGCUUGCUUCUCUUUUGUUAGCGGCGGACGGGUGAGUAACACGUGGACAACCUACCUUUUAGACUGGGAUAACUUCGAGAAACCGUAGCUAAUACCGGAUAAUACUUUGUAUCGCAUGGUUCAACAUUGAAAGACGGCCCUGCUUUCACUUAUAGAUUGGUCCCCGCUGCAUUAGCUAGUUGGUGAGGUAACGGCUUACCAAGGCGACGAUGCCUAGCCGACCUGAGAGGGUGAUCGGCCACACUGGAACUGAGACACGGUCCAGACUCCUACGGGAGGCAGCAGUAGGGAAUCUUCCGCAAUGGGCGAUAGUCUGACGGAGCAACGCCGCGUGAGCGAUGAAGGUCUUCGGAUCGUAAAGCUCUGUUAUUAGGGAAGAACAAGUAUGGAAGUAACUGGGGACAUCGUGACGGUACCUAAUGAGAAAGCCACGGCUAACUACGUG
rnacentral:rRNA from 1 species